UAACUUUCGCUUGCAACAAAGUCAAUUCCACCUUGCGGGGAAUCGAACUCUGCACACUGCCGCGCUGAGCCCUAUCCAUCCUACCUACUUUGAUCGUAUAUGGCUAUCAUAGUAGGUAGGUCGUGCCUUUAGCUCAAAACUUCGUUGGUAGAUGAUAAGACAAUGUUGAUGAAUAUGGCAGAAUUCAAGAGAAAAUGAACGGAAAAGGACCAAAACGGAAGAAAACGAAAAUCCAAGGUCUAAAAUUGCAUUACUUGAAAGAUUGCAUGGCUUGGAAGAUAAAUUGUUUAUUGGAAUUGAAAUUGGGCCUUGAGUGCACUUGGAGAAUCUGCCGGAAGUGGAAAUAAAAACAUUGGCCUCAAUUGGACUUGUUUGGGAAUCAAAAUUCAAUGUGACUUGGACUCCUAAUUUGUCUACAACAGAUGGGCUUAAUUGUUCAGGUAUAUGAAAGAUACACGGACAGAAACAAGAAAUCAGAAAUUUACAUAACAAUUGUUGGCUGCUGGAAAUAAAGAAAGGGGGUGCUGUCUUAUAUAUACAGAGAGACGCGCAUACAGGAAACGGGAAAAAUUGGAGAAAUUACACGAACAAAAAUGGCGGCUGGAAUUAAGAUAUAGGCAGUGACCAUAGGAGCAGAAAAUUGAAGAAAGUCGGUGGCUAAAAUACGAAUUUGAGGAAUUGAUCACGUUCGGUCGAUUUUUGGUGACGUCUUUUCACUUUUCUUUGUUUAAUUUUCACAUUAUGUUAGGCUAAAUUAUUUUGUGCUAUGAUUUGCAAUGAACCUUUUAUUAUGAACA